rnacentral:rRNA from 1 species
UACGGAGGGAGCUAGCGUUGUUCGGAAUUACUGGGCGUAAAGCGCGCGUAGGCGGCUUUGUAAGUUAGAGGUGAAAGCCCGGGGCUCAACCCCGGAACUGCCUUUAAGACUGCAUCGCUUGAAUCCAGGAGAGGUGAGUGGAAUUCUGAGUGUAGAGGUGAAAUUCGUAGAUAUUCGGAAGAACACCAGUGGCGAAGGCGGCUCACUGGACUGGUAUUGACGCUGAUGUGCGAAAGCGUGGGGAGCAAACAGG